UUCUUUACCCCGUCACAAACAUUCAGAAACGCCACGUCUUUUAGUCUCUCUUUCCAUUCCCCAUUUUAAUUUACGGCUCAUCCCCAAUGUCGAUUAGACCUCACAAUCACUCUUUGUCGCCAAGGGUUGCGUUAUAAACCUUGCAUUAUAAGGUCCUAAGGCGUCAAGAAGAAACCAAAGGCAUAUGCAGAGAAUCAAAGAACUCGAGUUGACGAACUCGCAAGUGACAGUUAAAGAGGCGUAUGAAUCAGAAACCAAGGAGGAAGAGAAGAAAGGCGAGGAAAGCUAGAAAAAAAACCAAGAUUGUGAUGACUGACGAGGGAGAAAAAGGGAUGAAUUUCUAAAUUCCAGUGCAAAAGCAAAGGUUGGUACACGAAUUUCUGAAAUUCCAGUUAAAUAUAUAUACCCUGCCAAAUUGGUUUUGUAUGAUGAAUUUCAUUCCUUCUUUAGAGAUAGUCAUCGCAGAACAAAAUUUUGCGGACUUAUUUUCUUCCCCUUUCUUUUUUCCUCACUUCCCUCUGACCUUUUAUUAGCCUUUUCUUUCCUCUUUGGGACAAGGGAAAACCAAAGAAAGAAUGGGGUAACAAUUUAAAAAGGGGCGUGCCCAGUUUAAGAUCAAACUUUUUAGCACAUGUUACCAUCUUUUGCAUUGUUCUUCUGGGAAAAUGACAAAUCUUUGCUUUAUCUUUCCAUCUUCACUUUAGUAACUAUGAAACUGCCGGACUAUUUGUGUCCUAUAAAAGAUACACAAAGGAUACUCUAUCUAUUUUUAAAAUAUCUCGUGAAUCUCCUAAUCUAUUUGUGAUCUUAGAGUUAGGCGACACCAUGCAUCCUUCGAUAGAAAGAGGGGGACACGUCAAAGCUUGUAUUUAUCUCUUCUCUCGAAGUUACUAUUGUUUACUAUUUUACCGUUCUUGUAUUGCUGCUUUUAGUUGCCUCCUUCUCUUGCUGUUAUUUCUCACAUAUCUAUUUUUCUAUUUAAAUAUAGUGUUGUAAAUGAGCAAAGCAUUAUUCAAUAAUCACCUUUUAAUCUUUCUAAUGUGAUUUUGUGACAUGAUGUGGGGGAACAUGAGUAUAAAGCGUCUCCAUAGAUCGGGUCCAUUUCUUGGAUGCAGUGAAACAAACUUGGUUGGAGAAGCCUGCUUUUUUGUGUGACGUUUGGUGAUGAGUAGAGAUAAAUAGACUGCGUUGAAGUGAGUGGGAAGAGAAAGAUGAGCCAACUUAUAGAUGCUGAUGAAUUUGAAAACAAAAGGAAGGAAUUGGAAAGCAUCUGCAAUCCAGUCAUUGCUACGAUGAAUCAAGGUGACGCCAAUGGAGCUACUAUGGAUGAGGAUGAUCUUUCCGUUGGUGGUGAUGCUGGAAAUAGAAGCGGUACUACACCAAAAGUGGAAGUUGAUUAAGAGUUUUUCUUGGAAUUGUUUAUCUGUUUGUUACUAAGAUGUGCCGCUUGAUUUUACUUGUAGAGCUGGAAUUAGUUAGCCAUCUUUAAUUUCUAUCCCAAUUUGUAUACUUCUUUUUUGUCAAUAUGUUCAUUUUAAAAUAAAAUGAUGGUUUUUAUCUCAAAAAUAUAGUACAGUAAU